rnacentral:rRNA from 1 species
CAGCAGCCGCGGGAACACGAAGGGUGCAAGCGUUACUCGGAAUUACUGGGCGUAAAGCGUGCGUAGGUGGUGGUUUAAGUCCGUUGUGAAAGCCCUGGGCUCAACCUGGGAAUUGCAGUGGAUACUGGGUCACUAGAGUGUGGUAGAGGAUAGUGGAAUUUCCGGUGUAGCGGUGAAAUGCGUAGAGAUCGGAAGGAACAUCUGUGGCGAAGGCGACUAUCUGGGCCAACACUGACACUGAGGCACGAAAGCGUGGGGAGCAAACAGGAUUAGAUACCCGAGUAGUCCCUGUCUCUUAUAC